AGAGAGAGAGAGAGAGAGAGAGAGAGGAACUGUCCCAGAGAGAGAGAGAGAAGCCACGUUUGUAUCCUAAAUACUCCGCCGGAGGUGUAGAGAGCAGAGGGAGCAAACGUGAAGUCAAAGGCUGCUCACAGUCAGUGUCAGUGUUUUUCCUCUCAGACUGAAGAUGAGUGGUUAUGAGGAGGAAGAGGAGGACAGAGCAGAGUCUCCAGUGUUCAGCUGUGUGUUUCUGAAGAGUGACCGGUCCAUGGGACCUCCUCCAAACUUCAGUAAUGAACCUGGACCCUCACACACAGAAGGUCAGGACCACAGACUGAGAGCAGAGUCUCCAGGGUCCAGCUGUGUGUCUCUGAAGAGUGACUGGUCCAUGGAACAUCCUCUACACUUCAGUAAUGAACCUGGACCCUCACACACAAAAGAGAGGAAGAGGAGGCAUGUUUCUGAGGAGGAGCAGU